GGGGGCGACUUGGCUUCGACGGGGGUGGAGAGGCGAGAGCUGCGUGUCGAGGUCCCAUCACCUCGUAAAUCCAUGGGAAAAAAAUCGCAACUGCGAACGAUAACUCGUACGCAAUGGCUGCGUAACUAAAGCGUGGCCCGUCUCGCCAGAUCCCGCCUGCGGGGUUUGACCGAGGCGUCGACUAAUGCAGGCUGGCCCGUGCUCCUCCGCCCGAGGGAACCGGGUGAGAUCUUGAUCGGGCUGGCGUAGCAGCAACCCUGUCUGUUGGGUCGUUGCCUCGCGAGAUCUAAUAGACAGACUACACACGUAGAUGCUCUCGAUAAUCUGUCUUCGGACGCGGGUUCGAUUCCCGCCGCC
rnacentral:tmRNA from 1 species